GACGAACGCUGGCGGCGUGCCUAAUACAUGCAAGUCGAACGCAUUUUCUUUCACCGUAGCUUGCUACACCGAAAGAAAGUGAGUGGCGAACGGGUGAGUAACACGUGUGUAACCUGCCCAUCAGCGGGGGAUAACACUUGAAAACAGGUGCUAAUACCGCAUAAUUCUAUUUACCGCAUGGUAUAUGUAUGAAAGGGGCUUUUUCGUCACUGAUCGAUGGAGCCGCGGUGCAUUAGAAAGUUGGUGGGGUGAGGGACUACCAAGGCUGCGAUGCAUAGCGGACCGUAGGGGGGUAUCGGCCACACUGGGACUGGGACAAGGCCCAGACUUCUACGGGAGGCAGCAGUAGGGAAACUUCGGAAAUGGACGCAAGUCUGAACGAGCAACGCCGCGUGAGUGAAGAAGGUUUUCGGAUUGUAAAACUCUGUUGUUAGAGAAGAAAAAGGAUGAGAGUGGAAAGUUCAUCCCUUGACGGUACCUAAACAGAAAGCCACGGCUAACUACGUG
rnacentral:rRNA from 1 species